rnacentral:rRNA from 1 species
GACGUAGGGCGCGAGCGUUGUCCGGAUUUAUUGGGCGUAAAGAGCUCGUAGGCGGCUUGUUACGUCGUUCGUGAAAACUUGGGGCUCAACCCCAAGCUUGCGGUCGAUACGGGCAGGCUAGAGUUCGGUAGGGGAGACUGGAAUUCCUGGUGUAGCGGUGAAAUGCGCAGAUAUCAGGAGGAACACCAGCGGCGAAGGCGGCGCUCUGGGCCGGUACUGACACUGAGGAGCGAAAGCGUGGGUAGCAAACAGG